CUACGGGAGGCAGCAGUGAGGAAUAUUGGGCAAUGGGGGAAACCCUGACCCAGCAAUGCCGCGUGCAGGAAGACGCCUUUCGGGGUGUAAACCGCUUUUCUACAUGAAGAGGAAGGACGGUAGUGCAGGAAUAAGUCACGGCUAACUACGUGCCAGCAGCCGCGGUAAUACGUAGGUGGCGAACGUUAUCCGGAAUCACUGGGCGUAAAGGGUCCGCAGGUGGCAUGUCAAGUCGAUUGUGAAAGCUCCCGGCUCAACUGGGAGAGGACGGUCGAAACUGGCAAACUAGAGUCCGACAGAGGUCGGCGGAAUUCCCGGUGUAGUGGUGGAAUGCGUAGAUAUCGGGAGGAACGCCAAAAGCGAAAGCAGCCGGCUGGGUCGAGACUGACGCUAAGACGCGAAAGCAUGGGGAGCGAACGGGAUUAGAAACCCCUGUAGUCC
rnacentral:rRNA from 1 species